rnacentral:rRNA from 1 species
UAGGGAAUCUUCGGCAAUGGACGAAAGUCUGACCGAGCAACGCCGCGUGAGUGAAGAAGGUUUUCGGAUCGUAAAACUCGGUUGUUAGAGAAGAACAAGGACGUUAGUAACUGAACGUCCCCUGACGGUAUCUAACCAGAAAGCCAAGGCUAACUACGUGCCAGCAGCCGCGGUAAUACGUAGGUGGCAAGCGUUGUCCGGAUUUAUUGGGCGUAAAGCGAGCGCAGGCGGUUUCUUAAGUCUGAUGUGAAAGCCCCCGGCUCAACCGGGGAGGGUCAUUGGAAACUGGGAGACUUGAGUGCAGAAGAGGAGAGUGGAAUUCCAUGUGUAGCGGUGAAAUGCGUAGAUAUAUGGAGGAACACCAGUGGCGAAGGCGGCUCUCUGGUCUGUAACUGACGCUGAGGCUCGAAAGCGUGGGGAGCAAACAGG